GGACCAUAAAGGUGCUUCUAAGUAAUAGACAGAGGACUUGAACCCUGCUGUCAGUUGCACCAUAGGUUGUGACUGAGUGCAAGUUAAGAAUGCUGAACCAGAUUACAUUCAUGGAUGCUUCUACCUCUCAAUUUCUGUCAUCUGCCAGAGAGAGAAAUAUUUGAAAGUUGUUCCUGCAUGUAGAACAAACAGUAAACAUCCUGAAAAGAUUUGAUAGCCAGUCUACCUUCUGUCCAUCACCUAUAGACACCCUCUUCCUUCUCAAGUCAAACUCAGUGGGUCAGUCAUGUUCACUACUAUGCUGUUACGGAGAUGGCUACGAGAGAGUGGAACCACACUGUGGAAGAAGCUUCUGUCUUCUCUGACAAGGAAGAGGAGCCCAGCAGUCCUCUGACCACACCAUACCUGAGCACAUUUACUGUGGACAGCAUGUUUAGCUUGAAGUCUUUCCUUCUACCCCAUCAUAGCUACCACUGUUGUGAGAACUCCCAUGUCCAGCACUCCAGGGAGGUGACAUCAGGAUGAAGUAUUCAUUUGUGAUGAGCAGUGUGCAAACAAUAAUAAAGCCAAAUCCACAUUUUUGUGACACUCCUGACAAACUGCUGCUGUAUUAAAGAAAUAAAUUACAAGUCCUCUAUUGCUCCACUGCACAGCUCUCAUCCCUAUUUUUGAGGCAUUUCAAUCAACCUUGCAAUUUUCACCAAGUAAUUGAGAAACUGAAGACCAACAGAUUAUGUAUGCUAAGAUCCCCACACUGAUAAGUGGCACAGAACAUAUUUGAACCUGGGACUUCUCAUUUUAGGGACACAGUGUUCCUCCUCUCCAGAGGAUGCAGCGACAAGGUGCUAUCCUGGAAGCAGAGAGCAGCCCUCGUGAGGCACCAAACACGCCAGAGCCUUGAUUUUCUACUUUCCAGCCUCCACAACUGUAAACAUUAAAUAAUCAAUGCAGGACAGGAAGUGGAAAAGAGAUGGAUAAUUGAAUUUGGUUUUGGCCUGUUCAUCCCUGUGCUCUCCAAGAGCUAUCUAUAAUUUCUCCUCCCUUCAGUUCCUGUGUUCACAGUCUCGGAAGAUGUCACUGCCAGAACAACUCUCUCAACAAACAAAACGAAACCCUCAGCAGGGAGCCUCAUGGAAGGGAAUUAGGGCUUAGGAUACAUCUCCUCCCAGAAGUCAAUUUAGCCCUAAGAUUUGGAGUAUGUUUCCCUGGCCUUUACACAUAGAAAAGGCAAAGGCCUAGAAGAUCUCCUUCUACACAUCAUGUCAGGGUCAGCUUCUGGGAAAGUGGAAGCAGAAAUGUUUUCCUGGCCAGUAAAGAUGCUGCAAGUUGAGAGAACAAAAAA
rnacentral:lncRNA from 1 species